UCCCUGGUCGUCCGGUGGCUAAGACUCUGUGUUCCCAAAGCAGGGGGCCCGGGUUCAAUUCCUGGUUAGGGGA
rnacentral:tRNA from 1 species